CCUACGGGAGGCAGCAGUGGGRAAUAUUGGACAAUGGGCGCAAGCYUGAUCCAGCCAUGCSGCGUGUGUGAAGAAGGCYUUAGGGUUGUAAAGCACUUUCAGGAGUGAGGAAGGGCAUUUGGUUAAUACCCAAAUGUUUUGACGUUAGCUCCAGAAGAAGCACCGGCUAACUCUGUGCCAGCAGCCGCGGUAAUACAGAGGGUGCAAGCGUUAAUCGGAAUUACUGGGCGUAAAGCGCGCGUAGGUGGUUUGUUAAGUCGGAUGUGAAAGCCCAGGGCUCAACCUUGGAAUGGCACCCGAUACUGGCAGGCUARAGUAUGGUAGAGGGGUGUGGAAUUUCCUGUGUAGCGGUGAAAUGCGUAGAUAUAGGAAGGAACAUCAGKGGCGAAGGCGACACCCUGGACUAAUACUGACACUGAGGUGCGAAAGCGUGGGGAGCAAACARGAUUAGAUACCCUGGUAGUCCACGCCGUAAACGAUGUCUACUAGCCGUUGGGUUGUAAUGACUUARUGGGCGCAGCUAACGCAAUAAGUARACCSCCUGGGGAGUMCGSCCSCAAGGUUAAAACUCAAAGGAAUUGACGGGG
rnacentral:rRNA from 1 species